UUGCUUUGAUAGCUCAGUUGGUUAGAGCAUGGUGCUGAUCACAGCAAGGUUGCAGGUUCACUCCCCAUAUUCCUGCAUUGCAAG